CUUUGACCGGUCAGGCUCAAGACUAGUGAGGACUGAGGAGCUGAGGACAGAUACCCAUUCAGCUGCCAGCAGACCCCUCUUCUUCCUCCUCACCCCCUCUCCACUGCCUCCUUCCCCCAGAUUCACCACCAUUAAUCCCCCAAAUCAACCACCAUGGAUUCUCUCCACUAGAAUCUCCGGUCACCCUCCCACCCUAUCUCCGGCAUCAUCGUGCCCUCCACCGCGCCCACUAACUAUCUCCCCUGCCUCUCUAUCCAGAUCUCUCAGUCCAGAUCCAAAGUUGCAGCCUCCACCAGCUCCGGCAACUCCAGCAACCAAAUCCCUGUUCGAGGUUGAAGCUACUGCAUCAAAAUCCCCAAUUACUUCAUUAUUAGGUGGAUGCACCCUAGAUCUACUGAUGCUUUUUGUUUCAAGAGAACAGGAUGCUGCCUGCUUAUACGAGACAUGCAUAGGGAUUAGUGGAUGACACCAGCAAAGGAUGGGUGAAAGGCUAAGGAAUACUAAUGUGAGGUACACCUUAAAUUACAGGAUUAGAAAGGGUUCAGCCAAAGUAUCGUAAGCUUUUUUUGUGUCCACCUCUUGCGGUCCUUAAUAGAUCUUUGGGAACUGAUUCCUCCCAUUUAGGCUCACAGCAAGUUGACUGCAAUGGCUACCACAACAAUGAUGGAUGUGAUAUUGCUUCAAGCAAUGGUGGCAGUAACAACAUCGACCAACAAUUGUAUCGGUUGUUUGAAUGCUUCUCCUUGAUGCUGCUACAGCACAUGUCAUGCAAGAUGGGCUAAGGUUUUUGAUAUACCAAUGUGGAGUUGCGGCAUACUAAUGCUUUUGGAUAUUUUGUCUAUAUGGUUCUAACCAUAUAGAUGGAGUGUGAGACUUUGAAAGUACGUGCUAUUAGGUGUCUUAGGCCAUGCAAACUCUAGUUGUUCAACUUGUGUGUUAUGUUGAAAUAGUGAACUAGAACUAUUCUAUGAUGGACUUGAUCUUUCUAUUUUCUGAAUGAAAUAUGGAAUUUGAGCUGUUUAUAUGUUA